rnacentral:snoRNA from 1 species
AUCCCAUGGUGAGGGUAUUUCAAAUAAUUCAUUGAAUCACUCUCAUACAUCAUAUAAAGAUUCAUCAUCAAGUUGUUGGAAUGUAAUGAUCUCAAUCUGAAGCU